GUGCGUGUAGAUUAUAGAUUAGAAAUCGUAAGGCUGUUAACUUUGAGAAGGUUCAAACCCGCGGACG
rnacentral:tRNA from 1 species